CGGGCCGCGUGGCGCACCCCCGAGCCCUCGAGCUCGCCGUCCUCAUCCGGAGUUGCAUCUACUUCCUCGACAAGCCCAGCCAGCUAGACCCACCUCCCUGGUUCAACAUUAAUGGCUGCUGAUUCCGUGCUUAUCCACGGGCUCUGGUGAACAGACAUUGCCGACUAUAUAAAGCCCCCCAAACCCACUCAAUCGGCAGGAUCAUCCCCUCCUCGUCUCCUGAGUGGCCCCGAGCAUCAGACCAUCCGGAGAGGUCAUCUUCUCCAUCUUUGGCAACUUCUGCUGCCGCCGCUAUCCAUGCCGAAUUCGAAGUUGUACCGCAGCUCCCUCCAUUUCUCCUUCACCAAUAAACUCCCAGAGCCGCUGCAAACUCAUUCCGACCUCAUCUUUCCCUCAGAAUUAACCAGGGGCAAGAACCCCUUUUCUACUGAAGCUGUCUUCCGCCUUGGGUGAAGCCCUGCUCGGUCCGAGCUCUCCGACGAUCCUAUCCCCAUCCAGAGGAGGUGGCUGUGCCUCCUGAUCACUCUGGUGUGUCAAGCACCACGAGAGAUGGCCCCUAGCACCAGCGUGCCUCGUCGGAAUCACCGUGGUUCCCUGUCCGGAAGCGCGCAUGAGGUGGGAGACGAACCCAACAAGUGGGACCCACCUGUCGGUCAGUCACCGCACACCCAUGAUGGCGCUGCCUUGAUGGUGCGUCUCCCCCGUAGAAUUUUGGAGAGAGGAGACUGACUUCAAGUAUUAUGUGGUGCACAUCACCCUCCUCAAACUCCAAAGGCAAGCAUCUUGAACUCCGAUUUGCAUAAAGUUGUGUGAUGUUUGUGGUGAUGCAUCUAUUCCGUGAUUUUAGGUUAUGUUGAUAAAAAUCUCGCAUGAAUUCAUACCUUGCAUAAGAGCAUGUGAUGGAUAUGUAUUGCUGCUAAGUUUGUGGAAGGAAAGUGGUGAGUGGUUACUGCCUCAUACUUCGUAUGCUAUGUUGGUCUGGACAACCUCGGAGUAAGGUGUGUCUGGUGGAAAUGAGACCAUGGGCUGACACCUCGUGGGACGAGAGUGGUCAGUGAAAGCAUGUCAGGUGUGAUGGUAGUAACCCUGAGAUAAUCCCUUCAGCAAGAUUGUCUGGUACUAACCCUUGCAGGAAAAUAUUUAACCUCCUAAGUCGACCGUAGAUCGAGUCUUGUCUCUUUGGCACCAUACAUUUUCGUGUUGCCGGAGGUCUUUAUGAAAGGGGCUACGGUCUAGUAGGUCAUAAAUCUAUUACUAGGUACAAACCAAGUAGAGAGGUCGGGUUGAAGGUAACCAUGGCCCUGGAAUAAAUCUAGACAGCCGGUCAGGGGUCAUGGGUGCUUCCGGUCUGGGGCCGAGAGGGAAUGGCCAUUCCCUUGUAGCGCUCGGUAUAAAUUUGAUCCCAUGCUAGUCGAGGUUGGAGCCUCCCCGUCUUAUGGUUUUUCUCUGGCAGCAUAGUCCGAGUGAUGUCGGUCUUCGCGGGAGAAAAAUGGGUGUGUACUGGUUCUGAGAGUUUACUUCUGGGAUACCGUACGUGGUAUUAGUCCGAAUGACUAUUGAAACCUGUGGGAUGUGGGUAAAGAGUACACCCUCUACAGAGUCAAACUAUUUGAGUAGCCGUGUCCACGGUCAAGGACGAUUGGUUGACUAGUCAAGUGUCGGUCUAAGUGUCGGCCUUCGGAGGAAGUUCAAGAAAUCAUGAGACUAAUCAUGAAAUGUGGUGGAUGAUCAUACUAUUAUUUUACCGUGGACUAACCCCCUAUGAUUAUGUUUGUUGAAUAUCCUUGGGAUGGUUCUACCUCCUGGAUAUUCAAUAUUUAUUAUUGUU